rnacentral:lncRNA from 1 species
AAGUGGAGAGACACAAAUAAAAUAGGACUAAAGAAUGUUGUCGAGUGAUCUAUCUUUAAGACUUGGAAUGGUUAUCUCAUUCUGCAAAUCCAGUUCCUUCACGUGUGUAUACUAUAAUGUUUUCUGAUAAAGAUGUAUACUAUAAUGUUAUUUCAUUAAUUUUAACUUUGUAGACGAUCACCAAAAUUAAAGUAGUAGACUCUUUAAGAUUACUUUAGA